AAUGAACGCUGGCGGCGCGCCUAAUACAUGCAAGUCGAGCGAGAAGACGUAGCAAUACGUUUGUAAAGCGGCGAACGGGUGAGGAAUACAUGGGUAACCUACCCUCGAGUGGGGAAUAACCAGCCGAAAGGUUAGCUAAUACCGCGUACGCUCCUUGGACUUCGGUUCAGGGAGGAAAGCGAUACCGUGGGUAUCGCGCUCUUGGUUGGGCUCCAUGUCCUAUCAGCUUGUUGGUGAGGAACGGCUCACCAAGGCUUCGACGGGUAGCUGGUCUGAGAGGACGAUCAGCCACACUGGCACUGCGACACGGGCCAGACUCCUACGGGAGGCAGCAGUAAGGAAUAUUGCGCAAUGGGCGAAAGCCUGACGCAGCGACGCCGCGUGGGGGAUGAAGGUCUUCGGAUUGUAAACCCCUUUCGGGAGGGAAGAUGGAACGAGCAAUCGUUCGGACGGUACCUCCAGAAGCAGCCACGGCUAACUUCGUGCC
rnacentral:rRNA from 1 species